rnacentral:rRNA from 1 species
UACGGAGGGAGCAAGCGUUACUCGGAAUUAUUGGGCGUAAAGGGCGCGUAGGCGAUUUGAAAAGUCUUGUGUGAAAGCCCCGAGCUUAACUCGGGAAGUGCACAAGAAACUGUUGAAUUUGAGUUCCGGAGAGGAAGGCAGAAUUCCCGGUGUAGCGGUGAAAUGCGUAGAUAUCGGGAGGAAUACCAGUGGCGAAGGCGGCCUUCUGGACGGAUACUGACGCUGAGGCGCGAAAGCCAGGGGGAGCAAACGGG